rnacentral:rRNA from 1 species
GACGAACGCUGGCGGCGUGCUUAACACAUGCAAGUCGAGCGGAAAGGCCCUUCGGGGUACUCGAGCGGCGAACGGGUGAGUAACACGUGAGCAACCUGCCCUAGGCUUUGGGAUAACCCU